rnacentral:rRNA from 1 species
ACGGGAGGCAGCAGUGAGGAGUAUUGGUCAAUGGGCGGAAGCCUGAACCAGCCAAGUAGCGUGCAGGAUGACGGCCCUAUGGGUUGUAAACUGCUUUUAUAUGGGGAUAAAAAAGAGUACGUGUACUUUCUUGCAGGUACCAUAUGAAUAAGGACCGGCUAAUUCCGUGCCAGCAGCCGCGGUAAUACGGAAGGUCCAGGCGUUAUCCGGAUUUAUUGGGUUUAAAGGGAGCGUAGGCGGCUUGUUAAGCGUGUUGUGAAAUGUAGAGGCUCAACAUCUGAAUUGCAGCGCGAACUGGCUGGCUUGAGUGCGCAGGAGGUUGGCGGAAUUCGCCGUGUAGCGGUGAAAUGCUUAGAUAUGACGAAGAACUCCGAUUGCGAAGGCAGCUGACUGUAGCGUAACUGACGCUGAAGCUCGAAAGUGCGGGUAUCGAACAGGAUUAGAUACCCUGGUA